UUUUAUGGAGAGUUUGAUCCUGGCUCAGGAUGAACGCUGGCGGCGUGCCUAAUACAUGCAAGUCGAGCGAACAGACGAGGAGCUUGCUCCUCUGACGUUAGCGGCGGACGGGUGAGUAACACGUGGAUAACCUACCUAUAAGACUGGGAUAACUUCGGGAAACCGGAGCUAAUACCGGAUAAUAUAUUGAACCGCAUGGUUCAAUAGUGAAAGUCGGUUUUGCUGUCACUUAUAGAUGGAUCCGCGCCGC
rnacentral:rRNA from 1 species